rnacentral:rRNA from 1 species
AUUGAACGCUAGCGGGAUGCUUUACACAUGCAAGUCGAACGGCAGCGCGGACUUCGGUCUGGCGGCGAGUGGCGAACGGGUGAGUAAUGUAUCGGAACGUGCCCAGUAGCGGGGGAUAACUACGCGAAAGCGUAGCUAAUACCGCAUACGCCCUACGGGGGAAAGCAGGGGAUCGUAAGACCUUGCACUAUUGGAGCGGCCGAUAUCGGAUUAGCUAGUUGGUGAGGUAACGGCUCACCAAGGCGACGAUCCGUAGCUGGUUUGAGAGGACGACCAGCCACACUGGGACUGAGACACGGCCCAGACUCCUACGGGAGGCAGCAGUGGGGAAUUUUGGACAAUGGGGGCAACCCUGAUCCAGCCGUCCCGCGUGUGCGAUGAAGGCCUUCGGGUUGUAAAGCACUUUUGGCAGGAAAGAAACGUCGCGGGCUAAUACCCCGUGGAACUGACGGUACCUGCAGAAUAAGCACCGGCUAACUACGUG